rnacentral:rRNA from 1 species
UACGUAGGCGGUUUUUUAAGUCAGGUGUGAAAGCGUGAGGCUUAACCUCAUUAAGCACUUGAAACUGGAAGACUUAAGUGAAGGAGAGGAAAGUGGAAUUCCUAGUGUAGCGGUGAAAUGCGUAGAUAUUAGGAGGAAUACCGGUGGCGAAGGCGACUUUCUGGACUUUUACUGACGCUCAGGUACGAAAGCGUGGGGAGCAAACA